GUUGGCAAGUGAUGCUAAAAUUUCUUAUCCUACACACUGAAUUACUUUGUGAAGAUCAAAAACUCCGCUUAUUAUCUGAUGCCUUC
rfam:Vigna radiata var. radiata cultivar VC1973A chromosome 6, whole genome shotgun sequence